UACGUAGGGGGCAAGCGUUGUCCGGAAUCAUUGGGCGUAAAGCGCGUGUAGGCGGCUAGAUAAGUCUGCUCUGAAAGCCCGGGGCUCAACCCCGGGAGGCGGGUGGAUACUGUCUAGCUCGAGUCCGGAAGAGGAGUGUGGAAUUCCCGGUGUAGUGGUGAAAUGCGUAGAUAUCGGGAGGAACACCAGUGGCGAAGGCGACUACCUGGCCUGUUCUUGACGCUGAGGCGCGAAAGCUAGGGGAGCAAACGGG
rnacentral:rRNA from 1 species